AUGUGCCCUGUUCCUGACGUGCCCGGCGAGACCUGAAUUCCAGUCAGAGCUGGCUGCUCACAGGACAGUCUGGGCUUUGUCGCCUUCGGGAUCCAGCGGGAGAAUCUCAGGCUUUGUCCGGAGAGCCGGAAGCCCUCGGAGGGGCCAUUUUUAGAGCCAACUGGGAAAGAGGGACCUGCCAGGCCUGCAUCAGCUGCCUGCCUGCGUCUCCCACUCAUCCUCACCCCGCCAGUCAGAGGACAGCAAUGCUGCCACCUUUCCCAGUGCUGCCCUUUGGGGGCCUCAGACCAAGUGUGUCCCAUGUGUCCACCCCCCGCCAGUGACAGCUCUUUGGAGCAGAUGCGUGGACAGAAGGACCCAUAUUCCAAGGGCUGCCAAUUCUCAGUCAAGUCAUCCCCGGGUAUCUCGGGCCCUCUGUGCUCCUGCUUCAUCCUGGUGGCAGUGGACCCAAGCUGCGCACAGUCACAUCAGGGC
rnacentral:lncRNA from 1 species